rnacentral:rRNA from 1 species
CCUACGGGAGGCAGCAGUGGGGAAUAUUGCACAAUGGACGAAAGUCUGAUGCAGCAACGCCGCGUGGAGGAUGACACAUUUCGGUGCGUAAACUCCUUUUAUAUAGGAAGAUAAUGACGGUACUAUAUGAAUAAGCACCGGC